AACGUAGGGUGCAAGCGUUGUCCGGAAUUACUGGGUGUAAAGGGAGCGCAGGCGGACCGGCAAGUUGGAAGUGAAAACUAUGGGCUCAACCCAUAAAUUGCUUUCAAAACUGCUGGCCUUGAGUAGUGCAGAGGUAGGUGGAAUUCCCGGUGUAGCGGUGGAAUGCGUAGAUAUCGGGAGGAACACCAGUGGCGAAGGCGACCUACUGGGCACCAACUGACGCUGAGACUCGAAAGCAUGGGUAGCAAACAGG
rnacentral:rRNA from 1 species